CCUACGGGAGGCAGCAGUGAGGAAUAUUGGUCAAUGGGCGAGAGCCUGAACCAGCCAAGUCGCGUGAAGGAUGACGGCCCUACGGGUUGUAAACUUCUUUUGUCAGGGAGCAAUUGAGUCCACGUGUGGGCUUAGCGAGAGUACCUGAAGAAAAAGCAUCGGCUCACUCCGUGCCAGCAGCCGCGGUAAUACGGGGGAUGCGAGCGUUAUCCGGAUUUAUGGGGCGUAAAGGGUGCGUAGGCGGAAUAUCAAGUCAGCGGUAAAAAUUCGGGGCUCAACCACGUCGUGCCGUUGAAACUGAUGUUCUUGAGUGGGCGAGAAGUAUGCGGAAUGCGUGGUGUAGCGGUGAAAUGCAUAGAGAUCACGCAGAACUCCGAUUGCGAAGGCAGCAUACCGGCGCCCAACUGACGCUGAAGCACGAAAGCGUGGGUAUCGAACAGGAUUAGAUACCCGAGUAGUC
rnacentral:rRNA from 1 species